UCCGACCCGUUUCAAGGCUUUAGCUGCUCAGUCCCAUAACAGUAAUGGGAACCAUCAGCAAGCUAGGGUUUGUCGUGCUCCAGUGAAAGGGAAGAAUACUGCAAGUAUAAAUUCUUCUUCUGGUAAGAAUUCAUUCAAUCCCUAUAAUACUGUAAAACACAUAUCCUAUAUCGAUUAUCAUGAAAUUCUUUUGAUAUUUGUGUUCGAGUUCUGGUCCAACAAUGAUUCGCCGUAAUCUUCUGUGCCCUAGAAAUCUCAAACAUACUAUGUAUAUGUUCAACAGUAUUCAUCUAGUUAGAAAAAACCCUUCAUCUGGUUCAGCUACAGAACCAUUGAAUGACUGUUGCAAUGGGUUCAGAUUAUUAACCUUUGUGGAAGGUUUCAAUUAUAGUUUUCCAAUAAUUAGGUGUUUGUCAGUGACAAAGAGCCCUAAUUUUGUUCGAAGUUACUGUUCUGGGAAGAGCACUGAAAAUUCCAGUGAGUGGACUGAAGAAAUAGAGUACCUGGACGAAUCGGGUACUGUUAUAUAUACUGGUAAGGGUAUAAGAUCAGUUGCGCCUGGGCUUGAUGACCAUGUGAUGGUGGGUGGGGUAAAGAAGCCACUUUUGAAUGCUUCAGCGGUUGCAAAGAUCGUUGAGAUUGUGAAGAGGUGGAAAUGGGGGCCUCAAAUGGAGACCCAAUUGGACAGACUCCAAUUUGUGCCAACCAUGACACACAUUACUCAGGCCUUGAAGGUUAUUGGAGAUAGCGAUGCUUCAUCGAGUUUGUUUCGAUGGGCAAAGAGGCAGUCUUGGUAUUUGGCUAAUGAUGAGUGUUAUCUGACAUUGUUUGAUAGGUUGAACCAGAAUAGAGAUUUUGAUGGGAUUCAAUCUAUGUUCGAUGAGAUGAUUAGUGAAUCUAGUACUGAUGGGAUGUCUUCAUUUAAUGCAUACAAUAGGGUCAUUCAAUAUUUAGCAAAAGCUGAGAAAUUGGAGGUGUCAUUCCAUUGUUUCAAGAAGAUUCAGAAUUCGGGUUCUAAGAUUGAUACCCAGACGUAUAAUUCUCUCAUAACAUUGUUUCUAAACAAGGGUUUGCCUUAUAAGGCGUUUGAAAUAUAUGAGAACAUGGAAGAGUCCGGGAGUUCAUUGGAUGGAUCUACCUAUGAGUUGAUGAUACCAACCCUAGCGAAAUCAGGCCGUCUUGAUGCUGCAUUCAAGCUAUUUCAGGAAAUGAAAGGAAGGAAUUUUCGACCGAGUUUUGCCGUUUUUGCAUCACUUGUUGAUUCAAUGGGGAAAGCUGGGAGGUUGGACACGUCCAUGAAGGUGUAUAUGGAAAUGCAAGGUUUUGGGCUGAGACCAUCUGCAACCAUAUUUGUGUCUCUGAUUGAGUCAUUUGUGAAGGCUGGGAAGCUAGAUACGGCUCUUAGGCUCUGGGCUGAGAUGAAGAAAGCAGGUUAUAGGCCUAACUAUGGGCUGUACACAAUGAUUGUCGAGUCGCAUGCAAAAUCAGGGAAGCUUGAGAUUGCAAUGUCUGUAUUUUCAGAUAUGGAGAAGGCUGGUUUUCUACCCACCCCAUCUACCUACGCCUGUCUCUUGGAAAUGCAUGCUGCUUCUGGUCAAAUAGAUGCUGCCAUGAAGCUGUACAACUCAAUGACGAAUGCAGGUCUGAGACCGGGACUAAGUACUUAUACCUCCCUUCUGAUACUUUUAGCAAAUAAGAAGCUUGUGGAUGUUGCUGCAAAAAUCUUACUUGAAAUGAAGGCCAUGGGAUAUUCAGUUGAUGUGAGUGCUAGUGAUGUUUUAAUGGUUUAUAUCAAGGAUGGUUCAGUGGAUCUUGCUUUGAGGUGGCUACGUUUCAUGGGUUCAUCUGGUGUUAGAACGAAUAAUUUCAUAAUCAGGCAGCUCUUUGAAUCAUGCAUGAAGAAUGGUUUGUUUGAGUCAGCUAAGCCUCUCCUUGAAACUUAUGUAAACUCUGCUGCAAAGGUGGAUCUCAUACUUUAUACAUCAAUUUUAGCCCAUCUUGUAAGAUGCCAAGAAGAGAAUAAUGAGAGGCAUUUGAUGUCUAUCCUAAGCGCUACAAAACAUAAAGCACACAUUUUCAUGUGCGGACUCUUCAUGGGCCCAGAGCAGAGAAAAAAACCAGUAUUAUCAUUUGUGAGGGAAUUUUUCCAGGGUAUUGAUUAUGAAUUGGAAGAGGGACCUGCCAGGUACUUCGUCAAUGUUCUCCUUAACUACCUUGUUCUUAUGGGGCAGAUAAACCGAGCUCGUUGUGUGUGGAAAGUCUCCUAUGAGAAUAAGCUUUUCCCAAAAGCAAUAGUGUUUGAUCAGCAUAUUGCAUGGUCCCUUGAUGUCAGAAAUUUGUCAGUUGGUGCAGCUCUUAUAGCAGUAGUUCACACCCUCCAUAGGUUUAGGAAGCGAAUGUUGUACUAUGGUGUUGUCCCAAGACGGAUCAAAUUGGUCACUGGACCUACAUUAAAAAUUGUGAUUGCACAAAUGUUAUGCUCAGUAGAUUCACCAUUUGAGGUUAGUAAGGUGGUUCUGAGAGCCCCAGGUGAUUCUGUUUUGGAGUGGUUUAAGAAACCAAUUGUCCAGCAAUUCCUUUUGAAUGAGAUUCCAUCAAGGGCUGACAUUCUCAUGCACAAGCUCAACACACUUUUUCCUAGUUCUGCACCUGAAAUUAGAUCUCUAUCCCCUCCUAAACCACUCGUUACUGGGAGGCAAUGGACUACCAACAAUGUCUGAGAUUAGAUCAUUGACCAGAGGGAGAGAAGACUAGUUGGACCGUAGACAAGUGGGACACAGCACUGCUGAGAUAGGGGGGGUUGCUGUUGGCUGUUGAGGAGGAGACAAGCAGUGUCCCUAAUUUCUCCACUUUCUUCUUAGUUUUACUGUAUAAUUUAUAUAACACUCAAAUCCAGCCAUGCUUCAUGGUGAAAAUGUGCUUGGAUAACCAUUUCAGCAACUGUGAGUCUGAUACAAAUUCUUCUUUGAGCGAGAAAGCCAAUCCCCUUGGAAAGAUGAAGAGGAGCUGAAUGGUGUAUGAAUCCUUCACCAUCGGGCAUGGGAUUCAAAUACUAGGAGGGAAUGAUAAUAGUUGCAUUAUAAAUUUUCUGUGGUGCCUCUAUAAGAUGAAUUAUAGAGUAUAUAUGGAUGUAGCAUCUCCCUCACAGGCAGAACUGGUAUCGGUAUCAGAUUUGUUGCUGGCAGUAUGAAUUUGGUAGCGUUAACACAGGCAUUACUAGCAUACUGGAAGCUGGAAGGUGGUUGUGUUGCCAACGGAGGUCUUGGGGAACUAUUCCACUUGUUGCGAGGCCAGCAGUUGCUGAUGAAAGUAGAUCUGGUGGCCUAAAUAUCCAGUAAGGUUUGGAGUAUGACAAUCAGAUCACGACGAUACUAGACUGUGGUUAUUUGUUUUGUGUUAAAAGUUAUAAUUCCUGAAAGGGAAUUCCACGGUACGGUGAAUGAACCCGAUACCCGUGUUUAUAUGUUUCUUGUGCCACUUCUACAGUUGUUUUACAAUUAUCGGUGGUCUUUCUUGUUUUGGGGUUAUUACUAUAACAUUUUCCAUUAGUGGUUUACAGAUUGUGUAAAUUGAGUUA